UACGUAGGGGGCGAGCGUUGUCCGGAGUUACUGGGCGUAAAGCGCACGCAGGCGGUCCGUUAAGUUUGGAGUGACAGUUGGUGGCUCAACCACCAAAGUGCUUUGAAAACUGGCAGACUUGAGGGCUUCAGAGGGACACGGAAUUCCGGGUGGAGUGGUGAAAUGCGCAGAUAUCAGGAAGAACACCCGUGGCGAAGGCGGUUCUCUGGGACGGUACUGACGCUGAGACGCGAAAGCGUGGGGAGCGAACAGG
rnacentral:rRNA from 1 species